GGCGGGAAAGGCUGAGGCAGGGGGCGGGGAGGUGACGCGGGCAGAGCCGGAACGCGAAAAAUCCGUCGGGGGCGCGCACGGGCGCCGGAUCGAUCGCGGCCGCUGCGGAGCCGGGGCGCGGAGACCAACGCCUGCCCCAGCUGCCAGGAAACUGCCGCUUUCAAACCCGCCGCAACCUCCGCCUCCUGCCUCUUCCCUUCCCCCCGCCCUCGCCCAGCCCUCUUCCAGUGCCCCGCCCCCUCGCGGCGCCCGGCGCGCUGCCGUCACCGGCCGGGCGCUCGGGAACGAGCCCAGCACUCAACUCUCUCGCCGGGGAUUGGCCUGCGGCGGGCAGCGGGCGGGCCGUCGGCGAGAAUGAAGACCACUAAUUGAAUACACAAGAACGGAUGGCUACAGUUCUCUGGGGGCAAUGUGACUGGGAGAAUGGAAGAGGG
rnacentral:lncRNA from 1 species